AUAAGCCUCCUCGCCAGGAACAAUGAAUGUAGGAAAAAUUUAUAUAUAUAAAUAGAACACAGUUACUGAAAACUUAAUAUGCUUUAUCAGUUGGUGGGCAGAGCGGUCAUCUAUUGGAAAAAAUUAAAAUUUGUUUCAAUAUUCUCAAACCGAACAAACUAUCAUUUUUGUAACACUUUAUUACGCAUUUAUCCGGUGGAGGUGACAUUACUUAUUGAUAACUAUCACAGCAACAUUUCCUUGUAAGCAUUCUUCAUGGCGUUUCUUUACUACAGCUUCCAGCGAAUGCACCUGAUAUACUGUCUGCUGAAAUGAGUGGGAUACCUGAAAUUCUCGGUAACGUGCAGGAUACUACGGGAAUCCCCCAUCCAAAUGAUGGAGGUUUCAGCCAGAGAUCAAGAGACAGGGACAUGAGGAGAAAAGUUUUGUUAGAGGCCGUAAAGAUAAGAGAAUGGAUAUUAGUUUAGGAAACCGAAGAAUAAAAGCAAGAUAUAGAAGUAAUCGAGUUUUCUAUGAUGGGUUACUAUGAUAGGUUACUAUAAGGAUUUUCUGGUCAAAACUAAGUUUGAGCUAUUUAUAUAUAAUAUUUUUAAAAAAUAGGCUCUAUCAAAAUUUAUGUCAAUGAAAAGAGUUUUACCCAGAUCAUGAGCUAUGUUAGAAUGAGAAGACUUCUCAUGGCGGCGGGAACAUCUCAUUAAGAUGGAAUUCUUUUCAAUCCCCAAAUGUUUAAUAAAAAGCUAUUGUUUACC